rnacentral:lncRNA from 1 species
CAGUUAGACUGAGCAGAUUGGUGAUAGUCUGACUGCCAUCCCAUCAUUCUUUAAAAAUAGCAAGCACAGUCCGGACACACUGAGAAACAGGACUAUGUGAACAAUGAUUGAUUCCAUCUCCUGAAGAGAUCCUUACGAAGCAUACAAUAAGAAAUAGAAGAACGCCUUCUUCUCAGUGUGGAGUAGAGUGCUACCAAGUAGGACAUGACAGCGUCUAAGGUGAUAUGUUUCCAGCACAUGGAAGGUGGUGACAGCUCACAUGGCUUCCAGGUGCCCAGAUCUUCUCCAGCCAGCCAGCACCCUCUUCCUUCUUUCCUGGCCAGAGUUUACUUCCAAGUGGCUGCAUCCUGCCUCAUCCAAGAGGAGCAUCACAGAAAGAGGGGGCUGAUGCCACAACACCACAGGAAAUCCCCACUUACUAACUCAACUGGAUUAGAGCCUCAGUCUAUAAGGCCUCUCUCUUGCCAUCUUCAAGCCCAGAAAUAUACAAACAAUGCUCCACCUGGCCAGAACAGUGAGCAAAAGGUAAGGACUCAUUCCCUGACACUGUCACCAGGGCAGGGCCUGAGCUCUUACUCCUCAGCUAUGAAGCCCUGUUCCUUAACCUGAGUCCCCCGGAAGGUGGACAUGGAGGUGAGACCUCUGGGCUACCCAUAUACUAGCCCUGCUUCCAAAGGCUCAGGAGUGGAACAAGAUGGAGAUUAAAUAAGGAUAGGUACUCUGUAUGAGCAUGUGUACCAAGAUGAAGGGGCCAAUUGAGACUGCUCUGUCUGUGAG